AGGAGGAACAACCCCAGUGGCGGGGCCAGCUCUGGAGCCCUGGAGUCAGCCCCCGCAGUAGCUCCAGAGCUCUCCGUCUGCAGGGCCUGGAGGCUCCGGGGCGGG
rnacentral:pre_miRNA from 1 species